rnacentral:rRNA from 1 species
UACAGAGGGUGCGAGCGUUAAUCGGAAUUACUGGGCGUAAAGCGUGCGUAGACAGUUUAUUUAAGUCGGGUGUGAAAGCCCCGGGCUCAACCUGGGAAUUGCAUUCGAGACUGAAUAGCUAGGGUACGGUAGAGGGAAGUGGAAUUUCCGGUGUAGCGGUGAAAUGCGUAGAUAUCGGAAGGAACAUCAGUGGCGAAAGCGACUUCCUGGC